AAGAUGUAGAUGAUGAUAUGGAUGACGAGUUUCGUGGUAGAGAAAUGGGCGGCUCAGAUUCUGAUGUUGAUGAAUAUGACUACUUGAAUAGCAAAGCAGCUGAUACAACUGCUGCUCAAGCAA